rnacentral:tRNA from 1 species
UGGUAAGUAGUUUAAACAAAACAAAUGAUUUCGACUCAUUAGAUUAUGACCACCAUACUAACCAA